rnacentral:rRNA from 1 species
AUGAAUAUACCGGUUCUCGUUAGAUCACCGAAGUCAACCAUCAUUGGGCGCGGUCAGUACUUGGGUGGGUGACCACCUGGGAACACCGCGUGCCGUU